rnacentral:rRNA from 3 species
CAAGACAACUUUACGGAGUUGACGAUUGACGGAGCGAAGCGACGUCAAAGCGUUCAUUAAAGUCGAGUUGGCUUAGGGAUACGUUCGUUGGGUAGGGGAGCGUUCUGUAAGCCUGUGAAGGUGUGUCGUGAGGCAUGCUGGAGGUAUCAGAAGUGCGAAUGCUGACAUAAGUAACGAUAAAGCGGGUGAAAAGCCCGCUCGCCGGAAGACCAAGGGUUCCUGUCCAACGUUAAUCGGGGCAGGGUGAGUCGACCCCUAAGGCGAGGCCGAAAGGCGUAGUCGAUGGGAAACGGGUUAAUAUUCCCGUACUUGGUGUUACUGCGAAGGGGGGACGGAGAAGGCUAUGUUGGCCGGGCGACGGUUGUCCCGGUUUAAGCGUGUAGGUGUGUGUUCCAGGUAAAUCCGGUUCACUUUAACACUGAGGCGUGACGACGAGGCACUACGGUGCUGAAGCAACAAAUGCCCUGCUUCCAGGAAAAGCCUCUAAGCAUCAGGUAACACGAAAUCGUACCCCAAACCGACACAGGUGGUCAGGUAGAGAAUACCAAGGCGCUUGAGAGAACUCGGGUGAAGGAACUAGGCAAAAUGGUGCCGUAACUUCGGGAGAAGGCACGCUGACACGUAGGUGAAGUGAUUUACUCAUGGAGCUGAAGUCAGUCGAAGAUACCAGCUGGCUGCAACUGUUUAUUAAAAACACAGCACUGUGCAAACACGAAAGUGGACGUAUACGGUGUGACGCCUGCCCGGUGCCGGAAGGUUAAUUGAUGGGGUCAGCGCAAGCGAAGCUCCUGAUCGAAGCCCCGGUAAACGGCGGCCGUAACUAUAACGGUCCUAAGGUAGCGAAAUUCCUUGUCGGGUAAGUUCCGACCUGCACGAAUGGCGUAAUGAUGGCCAGGCUGUCUCCACCCGAGACUCAGUGAAAUUGAACUCGCUGUGAAGAUGCAGUGUACCCGCGGCAAGACGGAAAGACCCCGUGAACCUUUACUAUAGCUUGACACUGAACAUUGAGCCUUGAUGUGUAGGAUAGGUGGGAGGCUUUGAAGUGUGGACGCCAGUCUGCAUGGAGCCGACCUUGAAAUACCACCCUUUAAUGUUUGAUGUUCUAACGUGGACCCGUAAUCCGGGUUGCGGACAGUGUCUGGUGGGUAGUUUGACUGGGGCGGUCUCCUCCUAAAGAGUAACGGAGGAGCACGAAGGUUGGCUAAUCCUGGUCGGACAUCAGGAGGUUAGUGCAAUGGCAUAAGCCAGCUUGACUGCGAGCGUGACGGCGCGAGCAGGUGCGAAAGCAGGUCAUAGUGAUCCGGUGGUUCUGAAUGGAAGGGCCAUCGCUCAACGGAUAAAAGGUACUCCGGGGAUAACAGGCUGAUACCGCCCAAGAGUUCAUAUCGACGGCGGUGUUUGGCACCUCGAUGUCGGCUCAUCACAUCCUGGGGCUGAAGUAGGUCCCAAGGGUAUGGCUGUUCGCCAUUUAAAGUGGUACGCGAGCUGGGUUUAGAACGUCGUGAGACAGUUCGGUCCCUAUCUGCCGUGGGCGCUGGAGAACUGAGGGGGGCUGCUCCUAGUACGAGAGGACCGGAGUGGACGCAUCACUGGUGUUCGGGUUGUCAUGCCAAUGGCACUGCCCGGUAGCUAAAUGCGGAAGAGAUAAGUGCUGAAAGCAUCUAAGCACGAAACUUGCCCCGAGAUGAGUUCUCCCUGAGACUUAG